rnacentral:tRNA from 1 species
UCCUGGGUGGCUCAGUCGGUUGAGCGUCUGACUUCAGCUCAGGUCAUGAUCUCGUGGUUUGUGAGUUCGAGCCCCACGUCGGGCU